GGGUGAGUAAUACAUCGGAACGUGCCCMGUCGUGGGGGAUAACUACUCGAAMGAGUAGCUAAUACCGCAUACGAUCUGAGGAUGAAAGCGGGGGACCUUCGGGCCUCGCGCGAUUGGAGCGGSCGAUGGCWGAUUAGGUAGUUGGUGGGAUAAAAGCUUACCAAGCCGACGAUCUGUAGCUGGUCUGAKAGGACGACCAGCCACACUGGGACUGAGACACGGCCCAGACUCCUACGGGAGGCAGCAGUGGGGAAUUUUGGACAAUGGGCGAAAGCCUGAUCCAGCAAUGCCGCGUGCAGGAUGAAGGCCUUCGGGUUG
rnacentral:rRNA from 1 species